rnacentral:rRNA from 1 species
UACGUAGGGGGCUAGCGUUGUCCGGAAUCAUUGGGCGUAAAGAGCGCGUAGGCGGCCAGAUAAGUCCGGUGUGAAAGUCACAGGCUCAACCUGUGAAUGCCGCUGGAAACUGUCUGGCUUGAGUCCGGGAGGGGCGAGUGGAAUUCCUGGUGUAGCGGUGAAAUGCGCAGAUAUCAGGAGGAACACCAAUGGCGAAGGCAGCUCGCUGGGACGUGACUGACGCUGAGACGCGAAAGCGUGGGAGCAAACAGG